rnacentral:ncRNA from 1 species
AAUGGCCGGGACAAAGGGUCGUGAUCCUGCGAGGGUGAGCUAGCCCCAAAAACCCGUCCUCAGUUCAGAUUGCAGGCUGCAACUCUCCUGCAUUUCA